rnacentral:rRNA from 1 species
UACGGAGGGGCUAGCGUUGUUCGGAAUUACUGGGCGUAAAGCGCACGUAGGCGGCUUUGUAAGUUAGAGGUGAAAGCCCAGGGCUCAACCCUGGAAUUGCCUUUAAGACUGCAUCGCUUGAACAUCGGAGAGGUAAGUGGAAUUCCGAGUGUAGAGGUGAAAUUCGUAGAUAUUCGGAAGAACACCAGUGGCGAAGGCGACUUACUGGACGAUUGUUGACGCUGAGGUGCGAAAGCGUGGGGAGCAAACAGG